rnacentral:lncRNA from 1 species
AUGAAACAAAUACUUAUUGUAGAGCUUAUUUCCAGAACAAUGUCUGAACCUGUAUAAUUCAUUGACAGAUUUCAUUGGACAUGAAUCUAAACGUAACUCUAAUUCAACAAUUAUACUAACAUGAUAUCAGAUUUUAAAUGAAAACUAAACAAUGCUAAAACUAAUUAGAUAUAAUACUCAUAUAUUAUGCUGAAAAGCUGGUCGAACAGUCCAGUUGAUCAAUAGACACAAAACAUACUUAUUAUGAGAAUCUCUUUUGUACACAAGUUUCAGGAAGAAGAGGUUCAAAUAUUGUCUAUUAUAAUUCUAACUAAGUAUGAGAUACAAACUACAGUAAAAUAGCCGGAAGAUCAUUUUGAAACAUCCUUCAUUCAAUCCAUUUCAAAUCCACUACAUGUUCAGCAACAGAUCCUCACCUAUGAGCUAGGAGAAUACCUAGAAGUGAGAAGGAAACAAUGAAGAGGUAAGAGGCAGCAAGUUCAGUAAAAACAGUAGCAGGGACAGUAUUUCAGCAGCAAAAUUGCCCAGAAAUUAUCUAGAAAAAUCCAACUGAACCAAAUUUGAAACCAAGCAAUUUCAAAAGACACCAUUUAUCAAGGAUCCAACCCGAACUGAACCAAAACAACCCAAUACUCAACCGAUUCAACUCAUUUUUGGCUUUUGCUAUUCAAAAAUCGUUUGGAAGAUGAAAGCCUCAAAAGACCUUAAUAGAAUAGUAAUGUUUGUAGAAUUUUCUUCUAUAUUGUUUUUUGGUUUUUCAGAAUAUCUAAGAUCUAAAUGAGCUCCCCAACUCCAGAUUUUAAAUUUUGGUUUUUGGAUUUGAAUUUCUAAUUAUUAGACUUCCAAACUUGU